AUACGGAGGGGGUGAGCGUUGUUCGGAAUUACUGGGCGUAAAGGGCGCGUAGGCGGAGUGCCAAGUCAGGGGUGAAAGGCCCGGGCUCAACCCGGGAACUACCCUUGAAACUGGCACACUAGAGUCCGGGAGAGGAUGGCGGAAUUCCCAGUGUAGAGGUGAAAUUCGUAGAUAUCGGGAGGAACACCAGUGGCGAAGGCGGCUGUCUGGACCAGUUCUGACGCUGAGGUGCGAAAGCGUGGGGAGCAAACAGGAUUAGAAACCCGGGUAGUCC
rnacentral:rRNA from 1 species